rnacentral:rRNA from 1 species
GACGGAGGAUGCAAGCGUUAUCCGGAAUUAUUGGGCGUAAAGCGUCCGCAGGUGGACAUACAAGUCUGCUGUCAAAGUGCAGAGCUUAACUCUGUAAAGGCGGUGGAAACUGUAGGUCUUGAGUAUGGUAGGGGUAGAGGGAAUUCCCGGUGUAGCGGUGAAAUUCGUAGAUAUCGGGAGGAACACCUGUGGCGAAGGCGGCCAUCUGGACAACUACUGACACUGAGACGCGAAAGCGUGGGUGGCAAACAGG